rfam:Mus musculus chromosome 8, GRC primary reference assembly.
ACCGCUGAGCCAUCUCACCAGCCCUAAUAUUUUCUUUUUAAAAAUGUAAGGGCUAGGGCUGGUGAGAUGGCUCAGUGGG